GGGGGUAUAGCUCAGUGGUAGAGCAUUGACUGGCAGAUCAAGAAGGUCCCAAGUUCAAAUCUGGGUGCCCCUU
rnacentral:tRNA from 1 species